CGCCUGGGGAGUACGGCCGCAAGGUUAAAACUCAAAUGAAUUGACGGGGGCCCGCACAAGCGGUGGAGCAUGUGGUUUAAUUCGACGCAACGCGAAGAACCUUACCUGGCCUUGACAUCCAGAGAGCUUUCCAGAGAUGGAUUGGUGCCUUCGGGAACUCUGAGACAGGUGCUGCAUGGCCGUCGUCAGCUCGUGUCGUGAGAUGUUGGGUUAAGUCCCGUAACGAGCGCAACCCCUAUCCCUGGUUGCUAGCAGGUAAUGCUGAGAACUCCAGGGAGACUGCCGGUGACAAACCGGAGGAAGGUGGGGGUGACGUCAGGUCAUCAUGGCCCUUACGGCCAGGGCUACACACGUGCUACAAUGGCGCGUACAGAGGGCUGCCAACUCGCGAGAGUGAGCCAAUCCCUUAAAACGCGUCGUAGUCCGGAUCGGAGUCUGCAACUCGACUCCGUGAAGUCGGAAUCGCUAGUAAUCGCGAAUCAGAAUGUCGCGGUGAAUACGUUCCCGGGCCUUGUACACACCGCCCGUCACACCAUGGGAGUGGAUUGCACCAGAAGUAGUUAGUCUAACCUUCGGGAGGACGAUUACCACGGUGUGGUCCAUGACUGGGGUGAAGUCGUAACAAGGUAACCGUA
rnacentral:rRNA from 1 species